AACGUAACACAAGCAGGCCGGCCCCCUUCAAGUCUCCACCUCCAUGCGGAAAUACGUACAGUCUAUGGGAAAUACAAGCAGUGAUGGAUGUGAAUAAAAGGUUCACUUUGUACUGUGUGCCCCCGGAUGUUGAUCUUGCUUGGGGGGAACUGCAGAGAAAAUGGUAGAACAAUCAAGAGGUCCAGAUCAGGCCCAAAUCCAGCACUGGAAAAUGUUACUUGGUCUGUUCUUACCCCCAUAGAUGUGGAUUUAUGACUGAUAUGGCUGGCUGAAUACAAUCAG